rnacentral:rRNA from 1 species
AGUAACACGUAUCCAACCUGCCGAUGACUCGGGGAUAGCCUUUCGAAAGAAAGAUUGAUACCCGAUGGCAUAGUUCUUCCGCAUGGUAGAACUAUUAAAGAAUUUCGGUCAUCGAUGGGGAUGCGUUCCAUUAGGUUGUUGCGGGUAACGGCCCACCAAGCCUUCGAUGGAUAGGGGUUCUGAGAGGAAGGUCCCCCACAUUGGAACUGAGACACGGUCCAAACUCCUACGGGAGGCAGCAUG